GGCGAAGAGCACGGGAGUCCCGGGUACCAGCGGGGCUGAGAGUGGACACCACCAGAAGACGUCUGGGCCUGUCCUGACCGUCACACCUGAUCCGGGUCAUGCCGGCGAAGGGAGCAGCCAAUGCCCUCCA
rnacentral:ncRNA from 1 species